rnacentral:misc_RNA from 1 species
UACGUAGGUGGCAAGCGUUGUCCGAAAUUAUUGGGCGUAAAGCGCGCGCAGGCGGUCCCUUAAGUCUGAUGUGAAAGCCCCCGGCUCAGCCGGGGAGGGCCAUUGGAAACUGGGAGGCUUGAGUAUAGGAGAGAAGAGUGGAAUUCAACGUGUAGCGGUGAAAUGCGUAGAGAUGUGGAGGAACACCAGUGGCGAAGGCGACUCUUUGGCCUAUAACUGACGCUCAGGUGCGAAAGCGUGGGGAGCAAACGGG